UAGGGAAUCUUCCGCAAUGGGCGAAAGCCUGACGGAGCAAUGCCGCGUGGAGGCGGAAGGCCUACGGGUCGUCAACUUCUUUUCUCGGAGAAGAAACAAUGACGGUAUCUGAGGAAUAAGCAUCGGCUAACUCUGUGCCAG
rnacentral:rRNA from 1 species